UACGUAGGUGGCGAGCGUUGUCCGGAAUCAUUGGGCGUAAAGGGAGCGCAGGCGGGCAUGUAAGUCUUUCUUAAAAGUGCGGGGCUCAACCCCGUGAUGGGAAAGAAACUAUAUGUCUUGAGUACAGGAGAGGAAAGCGGAAUUCCCAGUGUAGCGGUGAAAUGCGUAGAUAUUGGGAGGAACACCAGUGGCGAAGGCGGCUUUCUGGACUGCAACUGACGCUGAGGCUCGAAAGCCAGGGGAGC
rnacentral:rRNA from 1 species